UUUAUCUGUUCCAAAUUCAUUGGGACUCGUGCAAAGCUAUAAACUUUCACUUUCUUUACUCUCUGUGGUUGUGCUUCCCAGUUUUAUAUACCCAGAAUGAACCUUGCUUUCAUUAAACACUUUCAUUUUAUCUAAUAUAUAUAGUAUAUUUAUUUAUAUACACACUGCAUUUUUUUAACAUUAACCCUGUCUUUGUCUCAACAAAAUUUAGGGUUUACAAUGUGCUCUGCUGCUGCUACAAUGUCUCAAGCAGCUCACCGUGGCCAUUAUAGUUUGCUCUUGCCACUACAUUUUCCUCGGAGUUUGUUUUUGCCAAGAAGGUCCAGGGACAAUGCAACUGGUGCUCGCUAGACUGAUUCUGCUCAAUUCCGGCAUUGACCGUGAACAUAUUAACAGAAAUCAUGGAUUGACAUACUCGAAGUUUGGAGUUAGGGAAUGAAGCCUUUGGUCCUCGUAGCAUAGGUAAAAAUUUAAUGUAAAUUUAUCUAUUUUAAAAUUAUUUAGAUUAUAGAACUAUGUUUCAGCUUGUGUUUCAUCAGUUCUGAUGUUCAUGCCAUUUACUAUUGAUCUUAGAA